ACUCCUACGGGAGGCAGCAGUGGGGAAUUUUGGACAAUGGGGCAACCCUGAUCCAGCCAUGCCGCGUGAGUGAAGAAGGCCUUCGGGUUGUAAAGCUCUUUCGGCGGGGAAGAAAUGGCAACGGCUAAUAUCCGUUGUUGAUGACGGUACCCGCAUAAGAAGCACCGGCUAACUACGUGCCAGCAGCCGCGGUAAUACGUAGGGUGCGAGCGUUAAUCGGAAUUACUGGCGUAAAGCGCAUGCAGGUGGUUUGUUAAGUCAGAUGUGAAAGCCCGGGGCUCAACCUCGGAAUUGCAUUUGAAACUGGCAGACUAGAGUACUGUAGAGGGGGUAGGAAUUUCAUGGUGU
rnacentral:rRNA from 1 species